rnacentral:rRNA from 1 species
GAACGCUAGCUACAGGCUUAACACAUGCAAGUCGAGGGGCAGCAUGGUCUUAGCUUGCUAAGGCCGAUGGCGACCGGCGCACGGGUGAGUAACACGUAUCCAACCUGCCGUCUACUCUUGGACAGCCUUCUGAAAGGAAGAUUAAUACAAGAUGGCAUCAUGAGUCCGCAUGUUCACAUGAUUAAAGGUAUUCCGGUAGACGAUGGGGAUGCGUUCCAUUAGAUAGUAGGCGGGGUAACGGCCCACCUAGUCUUCGAUGGAUAGGGGUUCUGAGAGGAAGGUCCCCCACAUUGGAACUGAGACACGGUCCAAACUCCUACGGGAGGCAGCAGUGAGGAAUAUUGGUCAAUGGGCGAGAGCCUGAACCAGCCAAGUAGCGUGAAGGAUGACUGCCCUAUGGGUUGUAAACUUCUUUUAUAAAGGAAUAAAGUCGGGUAUGGAUACCCGUUUGCAUGUACUUUAUGAAUAAGGAUCGGCUAACUCCGUGCCAGCAGCCGCGGUAAUACGGAGGAUCCGAGCGUUAUCCGGAUUUAUUGGGUUUAAAGGGAGCGUAGAUGGAUGUUUAAGUCAGUUGUGAAAGUUUGCGGCUCAACCGUAAAAUUGCAGUUGAUACUGGAUACCUUGAGUGCAGUUGAGGCAGGCGGAAUUCGUGGUGUAGCGGUGAAAUGCUUAGAUAUCACGUAGAACUCCGAUUGCGAAGGCAGCCUGCUAAGCUGCAACUGACAUUGAGGCUCGAAAGUGUGGGUAUCAAGCAGGAUUAGAUACCCUGGUAGUCCACACGGUAAACGAUGAAUACUCGCUGUUUGCGAUAUACAGCAAGCGGCCAAGCGAAAGCGUUAAGUAUUCCACCUGGGGAGUACGCCGGCAACGGUGAAACUCAAAGGAAUUGACGGGGGCCCGCACAAGCGGAGGAACAUGUGGUUUAAUUCGAUGAUACGCGAGGAACCUUACCCGGGCUUAAAUUGCAGAUGAAUUACGGUGAAAGCCGUAAGCCGCAAGGCAUCUGUGAAGGUGCUGCAUGGUUGUCGUCAGCUCGUGCCGUGAGGUGUCGGGUUAAGUGCCAUAACGAGCGCAACCCUUGUUGUCAGUUACUAACAGGUUCCGAUGAGGACUCUGACAAGACUGCCAUCGUAAGAUGUGAGGAAGGUGGGGAUGACGUCAAAUCAGCACGGCCCUUACGUCCGGGGCUACACACGUGUUACAAUGGGGGGUACAGAGGGCCGCUACCACGCGAGUGGAUGCCAAUCCCCAAAACCUCUGUCAGUUCGGACUGGAGUCUGCAACCCGACUCCACGAAGCUGGAUUCGCUAGUAAUCGCGCAUCAGCCACGGCGCGGUGAAUACGUUCCCGGGCCUUGUACACACCGCCCGUCAAGCCAUGGGAGCCGGGGGUACCUGAAGUGCGUAACCGCGAGGAGCGCCCUAGGGUAAAACUGGUG